AUUGAACGCUAGCGGGAUGCUUUACACAUGCAAGUCGAACGGCAGCGCGGACUUCGGUCUGGCGGCGAGUGGCGAACGGGUGAGUAAUGUAUCGGAACGUGCCCAGUAGCGGGGGAUAACUACGCGAAAGCGUAGCUAAUACCGCAUACGCCCUACGGGGGAAAGCAGGGGAUCGUAAGACCUUGCACUAUUGGAGCGGCCGAUAUCGGAUUAGCUAGUUGGUGAGGUAACGGCUCACCAAGGCGACGAUCCGUAGCUGGUUUGAGAGGACGACCAGCCAAACUGGACCGUGGACCCGGCCCGACCUCCUACGGGAGGCAGCGGUGGGGAAUUUGGGAAAAGGGGGGCAACCCUGAUCCGGCCAUCCCGCGGGGGCGAUGAAGGCCUUCGGGUUGUAAAGCACUUUUGGCGGGAAAGAAACGUCGCGGGCUAAAACCCCGUGGAACUGACGGUCCCUGCAGAAUAAGCACCGGCUAACUACGU
rnacentral:rRNA from 1 species